GAUGAAGAACGCAGCGAAAUGCGAUAAGUAGUGUGAAUUGCAGAAUUCAGUGAAUCAUCGAAUCUUUGAACGCACAUUGCGCCCCUUGGUAUCCCGAGGGGCAUGCCUGUUCGAGCGUCAUUUCACCACUCAAGCCUGGCUUGGUGUUGGGCGACGUCCCCUUUAGGGACGCGCCUCGAAACGCUCGGCGGCGUGGCACCGGCUUUAAGCGUAGCAGAAUCUUUCGCUUUGGAAGUCGGGGCCCCGCCUGCCGGAAUACCUACUCGUAAGGUUGACCUCGGAUCAGGCAUGGAUACCCGCUGAACUUAAGCAUAUCAAUAAGCGGAGGA
rnacentral:misc_RNA from 1 species